GGAGUUUGGGCCGUGUCUCAGUCCCAAUCUGGCUGGUCGGUCUCUCAACCCAGCUACCCAUAAUCGCCUUGGUAGGCCGUUACCCCACCAACAAGCUAACAGGCCGCGGGCCCAUCCCUCGCCGUCUGGGCUUUCCCGCCUCCCCCAUGCGGGGGUGGCGGAGUAUCCGGUAUUAAUCACGGUUUCCCGAGGCUAUCCCGGUGCGAGGGGCAGGUUGCCCACGUGUUACUCAGCCGUUCGCCACUUUAUGCACACCCGAAGGUGCUUUAAUCGUUCGACUUGCAUGUGUUAGGCGCGCCGCCAGCGUUCAUC
rnacentral:rRNA from 1 species